AAAGCUGGUAGGUACUGAUUUCUUUAAAUUUGUCUUCAUGAUAAUGUUGAUAGUGCUUGAUUUUUGAAAUUCAGUCAACUCUUACAAACACCUAUGGAAAAUUAGACAAUAUCGGGUUGGUGGGUGGAUGCGUAUUAGUUCAGUUGGGUACAGAUUCCUUGAGGCACCGUUGUGAUAUAGAUUAAUAGGUCACGGAAAUGUAUUAUUACUUUACCUGCAGUGCAAGAAGGUCCAAUGAUAAAAAAAAAAA